GUUUAAGUGGCAGAAUAGUGCGUUAGAUUUAAGCUUUAAAUAUGGUGAGUUUAUGCACCCUUAAAUA
rnacentral:tRNA from 1 species